AUGCUCAAGUCUUUCCGGGAUCAAACCACGUGUCCCUUCCUCUCAGUCCUCCACUUUUAUUCUUUCUCAAAACUUGUGAAGAAGAGCCGACCCCGUCAGCAGCAGUGUCCCAGUGUGAGCUAUUCUUUCUGAACAUGCAUUCCUGUGCAGAGCGUGUUUUGUGUUUAUAGUGUGUGUGUUUGUCUCACAGGUGUGUGUGGCUCUUCAGGACAUGUGUGUGGUGUUUGCCGGGCCUUUCCUCGCAGGGAUUUCUGAGAGAAAAGUAAAGAGACUGUUUUGGUGUUGCGGGCCAGUCCGAACUGUUAAAAUGCUCAAUGGAGUUCAUGCAAAAGUAGAGUUUAAGCUGCUGGAGGGAGCGAUGUUAGCUGUGCAAACAAUGAAUGGAAUCAUUGUCCAAGGACAAAAAAUCAAGGUACCCUUUUUACCCUCUUUAUUUUAUUCCAUUUUCUCUGGGUGGUUUAUAAUAUAUGUGUUUUCUGUGUUGUAGGUGCGGAGGCCUGUGCAUGAGUCCAUACUAGACCUGGAUGUGACCCUGGAUGUUUUAAUGAGUGACUCUUUGAACAUCUGUCAGCUCUACGCAGUAAAACUAAAGGCCAGAGAGGUGGAGACUUUCUCACCAAACCUCAGUGGAAAUAAAGCACCAGCGUUAGCUAAUGGGGCGUCAUCAUCAGAAACACAAAAUAAACACGUCCACUCCAUUACUGAUGAAUCAGAAAUGUGCGAGGCAACCCUCAGAGAGAUGUUUGCUCCCUUUGGUGCCGUGCAGUCAGUGCGUCUGCUCUCCAAACCUGAAAAACAAGCAAGGCAUGCAUAUAUAAAGUUUUGGAGCCCUGAUGGUAAACAAGCAGCACUCAGUGCCUCUGAGGAUCUACGAAUAAAGAACUACCUCAUCUGCUCAGCGCUGACUCCGCUCCACCUACCCUCAUGGGUUACUAUGACAACAGUGAGUUCUGGUCCAGAUGAAAUAGAUGAUGAGACAACAAAGGUGAACAAUAGAUUGGACUCCGACAGUUUUUUUUUUUUUAUCUGAAGUGACUUCAUAUUAAAUAUUUGCUGUUGCAUCAGGAAGUGACACAGACGCUGAAGAAACUGGACCGGAGUCUGGGAAAACUUUUCCAAUCUCUUCCAGGAAGUACCCUGUCUGUGGUUCUGCUGCUCGGUCAAACCAGGUAAGAAUUUGGGAAAUUUUUUUGAGCUUUUCACCUAAAAUAUCUGAGACAGUUGUCAUUAUUCUUCUCUUUUCUUCACAGAACAAACGAUGACCAUCCAGGUUUGUGUUUAAUAGAAGUCACACAGGAGCCUUAAGGAAACAAGACAG
rnacentral:lncRNA from 1 species